CCUUCCGGGAGCAGCUCUCUUGGAGGAAGACUGGAGGACAGGAUGUAGAAAGAAUUCUGGUGUCUUUUCGCAGCCUGAACUCCAUGGGAAGAGAAGGCUGGGAGAACAGAAACGAUGUUGUUUUUCACAAGUGGCUUCUGGAGACGUGAGCAAUGCUGGUUGGUUGAGGACCCAACUGUUAAGCCUAAAGACACAGCUGGGAAAGGCACGGCUGCCUCUGGACUGAAUGCUCGAUCGUGCUGCACAGGGCUGUGGGCAAAUCUCCUAAGCCCCGAGGAACACCGAGCAGUGGACGUAUGACACUGACUGAGGAUGCCAGGGCCACAUUCCAAUGAGGAGCUCUGCAUUCAGAUCGCCAGGUGUGAGUCUGCUACAGUGUGACUUGGGGUAAGCGUGUAACCUUUCGGAACCUCAGCUUUCUCAUCUGUAAAGUUAGACAAAUGCUCUCAGCUCAUUAGAUUGGUACGAGGAUGACAUGAGGGAAAAUUAUAAAAGACCCAUACCUCCAAAGGCAUUUCAUGCACUCAAUAAACAUUACCUGUUAUGAUUAACUGUGGUUAUUUCUGGUGCUAUCUUGUUUAUUUAUAGCUGAGCUGGCAUUUAAUGGUC
rnacentral:lncRNA from 1 species